AUACGUAGGUGGCAAGCGUUGUCCGGAUUUACUGGGUGUAAAGGGCGUGUAGGCGGAGAUGCAAGUCAGGAGUGAAAUCUAGGGGCUCAACCCCUAAACUGCUUUUGAAACUGUAUCCCUUGAGUAUCGGAGAGGCAGGCGGAGGUCCUAGUGUUGCGGUGAAAUGCGUAGAUAUUAGGAGGAACACCAGUGGCGAAGGCGGCCUGCUGGACGACAACUGACGCUGAUGCGCGAAAGCGGGGGGAGCAAACAGGAUUAGAUACCCUGGUAGUCCACGCUGUAAACGAUGAAUACUAGGUGUGGGGGGACUGACCCCCUCCGUGCCGCAGUUAACACAAUAAGUAAUCCACCUGGGGAGUACGGCCGCAAGGUUGAAACUCAAAUGAAUUGACGGGG
rnacentral:rRNA from 1 species